GACGAACGCUAGCGGCAGGCUUAAUACAUGCAAGUCGAGGGGCAGCACAGAUAGCAAUAUUGCGUGGCGACCGGCAAACGGGCGCGGAACACGUACAAAACCUUCCUUUUUGUGUGGGAUAGGCCAGUGAAAUUUGGAAUAAUACCACCUCGUACAUUGGAGUGGCAUAACUUUGAUAUUAUCGACUUAUCGCCAAAUGACUGGUGUGCGUAUGGAUAGGUAGUUGGUAGAGGUAACAGCUCACCAAGCCUUCGAUCAUUAACUGGUGUGAGAGCACGACCAGUCACACGGGAACUGAGACACGGGCCCGACUCCUACGGGAGGCAGCAGUAAUGAAUAUUGGUCAAUGGACGCAAGUCUGAACCAGCCAUGCCGCGUGAAGGAUGACGGCCCUCUGGAUUGUAAACUUCUUGUAUGUGGGACGAAAAAGGGCCAUUUUUGGUCAACUGACGGUACCAUAGGAAUAAGCACCGGCUAACUCCGUGCCAGCCGCCGCGGUAA
rnacentral:rRNA from 1 species